GAUGAACGCUGGCUACAGGCUUAACACAUGCAAGUCGAGGGGAAACGGCGUUGAGUGCUUGCACUGAAUGGACGUCGACCGGCGCACGGGUGAGUAACGCGUAUCCAACCUUCCCGUUACUGCGGGAUAACCUGCCGAAAGGCAGACUAAUACCGCAUGUUCUUCGAUGACGGCAUCAGAUUCGAAGCAAAGACUCGUCGGUAACGGAGGGGGAUGCGUCUGAUUAGCUUGUUGGCGGGGCGACGGCCCACCAAGGCGACGAUCAGUAGGGGUUCUGAGAGGAAGGUCCCCCACAUUGGAACUGAGACACGGUCCAAACUCCUACGGGAGGCAGCGGUGAGGAAUAUUGGUCAAUGGGCGGAAGCCUGAACCAGCCAAGUAGCGUGCAGGACGACGGCCCUACGGGUUGUAAACUGCUUUUAUGCGGGGAUAAAGUGAGGGACGCGUCCCUUUUUGCAGGUACCGCAUGAAUAAGGACCGGCUAAUUCCGUGUCAGCAGCCGCGGUAAUACGGAAGGUCCGGGCGUUAUCCGGAUUUAUUGGGUUUAAAGGGAGCGUAGGCCGGGGAUUAAGUGUGUUGUGAAAUGUAGGCGCCCAACGUCUGACUUGCAGCGCAUACUGGUUCCCUUGAGUACGCGCAACGCCGGCGGAAUUCGUCGUGUAGCGGUGAAAUGCUUAGAUAUGACGAAGAACCCCGAUUGCGAAGGCAGCCGGCGGGAGCGCAACUGACGCUGAAGCUCGAAGGUGCGGGUAUCGAACAGG
rnacentral:rRNA from 1 species